rnacentral:rRNA from 1 species
UACGUAGGGGGCAAGCGUUGUCCGGAUUUAUUGGGCGUAAAGAGCUCGUAGGCGGCUCGGUAAGUCGGAUGUGAAACCUCCAGGCUCAACCUGGAGACGCCAUCUGAUACUGCCGUGGCUUGAGUCCGGUAGAGGAGCAGGGAAUUCCUGGUGUAGCGGUGGAAUGCGCAGAUAUCAGGAAGAACACCCGUGGCGAAGGCGGUUCUCUGGGACGGUACUGACGCUGAGACGCGAAAGCGUGGGGAGCGAACAGG